CAAGCGCUGGUGCGAGCCUGCUGACUACACAAAGCUGGAUGCUUCUUGCUGAGACAACCAGGACACUCUUAGUAACUACGGGAGACAGCGGGUGUAACCAGGGGUGUUGGGGUCGGUUCCGUGCGGCCAGCUCCCUCCUGCAGAGCGGACAGGGCAGGGCAGCACAGCCUGCACGCGGGAAUCCUUUCACCCCAGCGCUGAUUACAGCGCACCCCUCCGGGGUCGGGACGAGGCCCGGCAAACAGCUGCGAGCGGCGCCUUCGGGAGCAGAGUUCCAGAAGCUUCAGCGAGUCACAUCUGCACAGGAACUCAAACAAGCAAGACAGCGCGAAGACAAAGCUGAAUUUUUGUGUAUGGUGAAUGCUUCUGCCCAGACGGUGCUUCGUUAAAAAGUGGUGUGUACACCUGUGAUCACAGCAUUCAGUAAGCUAAGACAGAAAAAUUGGAGAGAAUCUGAGACCAGCCUGGACUACACGGUGAGAAUGGUCUUGAAGAGGAGGGGUAAAAGGAGAAAAGAAAGGCACAGGAGGAGGAGAGGAGAAAGAAAAAGAAAAGCUUAGUUUAUGAAGUUGAUCUCUCCAAGAGAGUGAACCAGAUGUCAUCUGUGUCCUGAAACAGAAGAGUUUCCAAGGUGCCCGUGGGGCACAGAGUCACUAUGUCUAAUCAACGAGGUCGGAAGAGUUAUCAGAGUGUGCCUAGGCCUUUGUAUUUGGAAAGUGCCUGUGCCAAGGAAAAACCGUACAGCCUUUGGACGAGAGGAACCAAAGAGCUCCAUCUAGUGACUUAAGAGUUCUUCUCAGGUUAAAAUCAGUAGGAAGAAAGCAAGACAUCCUCACAGAUGAGAGCCCGAAAAGAAACUGUGCAGUUAAAACAAAAAGCCCCAAAGCACUCCACACGGG
rnacentral:lncRNA from 1 species